rnacentral:tRNA from 1 species
UAUUUUAAUAGCUUAUUAUUAGAGCAUAAUAUUGAAGAUAUUAAGGAGAUUGUUAAUCUUAAAAUAU